AGACUGCAACAAUGGUGAGCAAUUCCCACAAGGUCAUGAAUCACAAGCAUUGGUCGAUGAAGAGGGUCAAGUUCACAAUCAAGUAGACAAGGAAGUACGCAAGCGCAAGAGAACAAGCUUGCCAAUUGUCUGGAACAUGCCAAAGGGGCAGAGAAUAGUUGUGAAAUGCAAUGAAGAUAGCCAGCCUAUAGGAGAUGAAGGUGCAAUCUUGGGGAAGUUUCUGGGCACGAUUGCUAGAAAUGGAGGAUUUUGCCCACUAAACAUAAAUGAUUGGCGUCAUGUCAAAAAGAAUAGUGGUGAGGAAACAAUAUUGCAGUGCGUACAGACAAAGUUCGUGUAUCCUCGAUCAUGUGAAAAAUGGAUACUCAAAUCAAUUGGAAGAGACUGGAGGAAAUUUAAGUCUAGUUUGAAAGAUGCUUUCUUCAAACCCGCCAUUGAAAAAAAUCCAAACAUCAAG